rnacentral:rRNA from 1 species
GAUGAACGCUGACGGCGUGCCUAAUACAUGCAAGUCGAGCGAACGGACGAGAAGCUUGCUUCUCUGGUGUUAGCGGCGGACGGGUGAGUAACACGUGGAUAACCUACCUAUAAAACUGGGAUAACUUCGGGAAACCGGAGCUAAUACCGGAUAAUAUUUUGAACCGCAUGGUUCAAAAGUGAAAGACGGUCUUGCUGUCACUUAUAGAUGGAUCCGCGCUGCAUUAGCUAGUUGGUAAGGUAACGGCUUACCAAGGCAACGAUGCAUAGCCGACCUGAGAGGGUGAUCGGCCACACUGGAACUGAGACACGGUCCAGACUCCUACGGGAGGCAGCAGUAGGGAAUCUUCCGCAAUGGGCGAAAGCCUGACGGAGCAACGCCGCGUGAGUGAUGAAGGUCUUCGGAUCGUAAAACUCUGUUAUUAGGGAAGAACAUAUGUGUAAGUAACUGUGCACAUCUUGACGGUACCUAAUCAGAAAGCCACGGCUAACUACGUG